rnacentral:rRNA from 1 species
AAUGAACGUUGGCGGCGUGGAUUAGGCAUGCAAGUCGAGCGUACCCAGCAAUGGGGAAGCGGCAAACGGGGUAGUAAGGCGUCGGUACGUGCCUCCUGGACGGGGACAGCCACGGGAAACUGUGGGUAAUACCCGAUGACAUCGCGAGAUCAAAGGUGUGAUUCCGCCGGGAGAGCGGCUGACGUGGUAUUAGGUAGUUGGUAAGGUAAUGGCUUACCAAGCCUGGGAUGCCUAGGGGGUGUGAGAGCAUGGCCCCCACCAUUGGGACUGAGACACUGCCCAGACACCUACGGGUGGCUGCAGUCGAGGAUCUUCGGCAAUGGGCGCAAGCCUGACCGAGCGACGCCGCGUGCGGGAUGAAGGCCCUCGGGUUGUAAACCGCUGUCAGGGGGGAUGAAGUCAUGGUGGGUUCUCCCAUCAUGUUGACAGAGCCCCAGAGGAAGCGCGGGCUAAGUUCGUGCCAGCAGCCGCAGUAAAAC